GACGGGGGGUCCUAGCGUUGUUCGGAAUCAUUGGGCGUAAAGCGGGCGUAGGUGGCUAUGUAAGUCAGGAGUGAAAGCCCUGGGCUCAACCCAGGAAGUGCUUUUGAAACUGCGUAGCUUGAAUGUGGAAGAGGAUAGUGGAAUUCCUGGUGUAGUGGUGAAAUACGUAGAUAUCAGGAGGAACACCGGCGGCGAAGGCGGCUAUCUGGUCCAACACUGACACUGAGGCCCGAAAGCGUGGGGGAUCAAACAGG
rnacentral:rRNA from 1 species